rnacentral:rRNA from 1 species
CGAACGCUGGCGGCGUGCUUAACACAUGCAAGUCGUACGGUAAGGCCCUUUCGGGGGUACACGAGUGGCGAACGGGUGAGUAACACGUGAGUAACCUGCCCACAACUUUGGGAUAACGCUAGGAAACUGGUGCUAAUACUGGAUAUGUGCUCCUGCUGCAUGGUGGGGGUUGGAAAGCUCCGGCGGUUGUGGAUGGACUCGCGGCCUAUCAGCUUGUUGGUGGGGUAGUGGCCUACCAAGGCGGCGACGGGUAGCCGGCCUGAGAGGGUGACCGGCCACAUUGGGACUGAGAUACGGCCCAGACUCCUACGGGAGGCAGCAGUGGGGAAUAUUGCACAAGGGGCGCAAGCCUGAUGCAGCAACGCCGCGUGCGGGAUGACGGCCUUCGGGUUGUAAACCGCGUUCAGCAGGGACGAAGCUUUUUGUGACGGUACCUGCAGAAGAAGCACCGGCUAACUACGUG